ensembl:snoRNA LOC120097236 small nucleolar RNA SNORA17
CCUGCACCUAGAGACAUGGCAGGUGUGACUGAUGUGUCACAUGAGCAUCAGUAGUGACAGAGAAGAGAGAGGCUAUGUCUAUGCUCAGUGUUCUGACCGGUGAGCAUCUGAAAGAUUAGUAGCCUAACACU